GAUCCAACACAGGGCUUUGCUUGUGUAAAUCAACCACUACAAAGAUGGUGUUGGUGGAGUUGGUGGUGUAAGGACUACAAGGUCCGUUUCACAUGUCCAAGGAGUUUUUGCCAACCAAAGUGUGUAACAAGGUGGUUUGAUUUUGACGACCCUACAAGAGGAGGCGAUUUCGAACUCUUGACGACCCUUCAACAAAAUUACCCUGGAGAAAUAUGUCCCAAUCCAAUCGGAAUACAGGCUCAGACCGUCUCUGGAAUGCCAGCGUAUCAAACUGGAAAUUACAUUCAAAUAUCUAUUUCAGCAUCUGGGUUUUUUUGCAAAUAUGUAAAACCAGGAUUUUGUGCUGAUUAUAAGGUGCGCUUCACCUGCCCAGAUGAAUGGUGUUCAA